GAAAUGCGAUAAGUGAUGUGAAUUGCAGAAUUCCGUGAAUCAUCGAAUCUUUGAACGCACAUUGCGCCCUCUGGCAUUCCGGGGGGCAUGCCUGUCCGAGCGUCAUUACGCACCCUCAAGCCCGGCUUGUGUGAUGGGCCCCGGCGUCUCGUUCGCGAGACGGGCCCGAAAGGCAGCGGCGGCGUCGACCCGAUGAGCCCGAGCGUAUGGGGACUUCUGUCACACGUUCGCGGUGCGGACCGGCGCCUGCUUGACUUUUCUGAUUAUCCAGGUUGACCUCGGAUCAGGUAGGGAUACCCGCUGAACUUAAGC
rnacentral:misc_RNA from 1 species